UACGUAGGUGGCAAGCGUUGUCCGGAUUUAUUGGGUUUAAAGGGUGCGUAGGCGGUCUUUUAAGUCAGUGCUGAAAUACUCCAGCUUAACUGGAGGGGUGGCAUUGAUACUGGGAGACUUGAGUGUAGUCGAGGUAGGCGGAAUUGACGGUGUAGCGGUGAAAUGCGUAGAUAUCGGGAAGAACACCCGUGGCGAAGGCGGUUCUCUGGGACGGUACUGACGCUGAGACGCGAAAGCGUGGGGAGCGAACAGG
rnacentral:rRNA from 1 species